GACGAACGCUGGCGGCGUGCCUAAUACAUGCAAGUAGGACGCAGUUGCGAACGGGUGAGUAACGCGUAGGUAACUGCCUAUUAGAGGGGGAUAACUAUUGGAAACGAUAGCUAAUACCGCAUACUAGUAGAUGGACCUGCGUUGUAUUAGCUAGUAGGUAGGGUAAUGGCCUACCUAGGCGACGAUACAUAGCCGAACUGCGGGGGUGAGCGGCCACACCUGGACUGAAACAAGUCCCCGAAUCCUACGGGGAGGAGCAGGAGGGAAUCUUCGGAAAUGGGGGGGACCCUUGACGAGGAAGGGCGCGGGAGGGAAGGAGGUUUUCCGAUCGUAAAGCUUUGUUUUGAAGGGAGCGGUACUUAACCAGAAAGGGACGGCUAACUACGGGACAGCCGCCGCGGUAAUUC
rnacentral:rRNA from 1 species